AUUGAACGCUGGCGGCAGGCCUAACACAUGCAAGUCGAACGAGUGGCGGACGGGUGAGUAAUGUCUGGGCACCUGCCUGAUGGAGGGGGAUAACUACUCGAAACGGUGGCUAAUACCGCAUACCAUCGGAUGUGCCCAGAUGGGAUUAGCUAGUAGGUGGGGUAACGGCUCACCUAGGCCACGAUCCCUAGCUGGUCUGAGAGGAUGACCAGCCACACUGGAACUGAGACACGGUCCAGACUCCUACGGGAGGCAGCAGUGGGGAAUAUUGCACAAUGGGCGAAAGCCUGAUGCAGCCAUGCCGCGUGUAGGAAGAAGGCCUUCGGGUUGUAAAGUACUUUCAGCGGGGAGGCGGUACCUGCAGAAGAAGCACCGGCUAACUCCGUGCCAGCAGCCGCGGUAAUUC
rnacentral:rRNA from 1 species